rnacentral:tRNA from 1 species
GGAGAGAUGGCUGAGUGGUCGAAGGCGCUCGACUCGAAAUCGAGUGGACGUUCACGCGUCCCGUGGGUUCGAAUCCCACUCUCUCCGCCA